UUUAUUCAUACAGUGGAGAACACAGUCACAGUUAUGAUCCAGAAAACUCUGAAUCUGCAAAGAGGACCAGGACUUGGAGACUCACCACUCUGAGUCUCAUUAAUUUGCUGAAGCUCUUGCAAAGUUAUUGGGGUUGGCCUCAAAUUCAUGAUCUUCCUGCAUCAGCCUCCUGAGUUGCUGGGAUUACAGGACUGUGAUCUAUGAUACUGUGUCCUCAUGGGAAGCCAAACAAAGACUGAUGUGAAAACUGGUGAGUCAAGUAUGCAAGAAACCCUCUCUUCUUCUGGAUACUCCUUUGGGAUCAGCAGGAAGAGCUGUCUUGCAGGAGGUAGAGAUGACCAAUGUGAACUCUGAGGAUUUUAUUCUAAUUCAUACAAGGGGAUUUAAGUCCAGCAAAUGAUACCACAAAAUCCUAUGGGCUUUUAAACACAUGCAUUCUUUCCCUUUUACCUUUGGUUUUGUAUGUUCUAUUCAAAUCUCUUUGAUUUAAUAUCGAAAUUUAUAAUUUGUUCUCUUGUUUUUUGAAAUAAAGUCUAAAUCCAGAUGACUAUAUCCUAAGAACUGAAUGAACUAUCAGUAUGCCUAAUUGAGACCCUCUAAUGCUGAAUGCAUUAUUUAUCACCAAAAAGACUACAGUAGACGUCUUAUAGAUCAAAUAAUAAAACGCAGUUUUUGUAUUCUAAAAGCUUAAAAUACAAAAUAUUGAUCAGUAACAUAUGCCCUACUUGUACAAGGGUGAAUUGUAAACAUGAUAUUAGCUGUUAUAUGUAUUAUCAAUAUUUUUUAUAAUAUCUACAUUAAUAGACCUAAAUGUACACAUGUAUAUUCAUAUAAAAUUAUAUGUGUGUACAAGUGUGUGUGUAUGUGUGUGUGUGUGUUUAAAA